AUGACGGUGCUUGCACUGAUUUCAACAAUGAAGCGAGUGGCGAACUGGUGAGUAACACGUGGGGAAUCUGCCCAGAAGCAGGGGAUAACACUUGGAAACAGGUGCUAAUACCGUAUAACAACAAAAUCCGCAUGGAUUUUGUUUGAAAGGUGGCUUCGGCUAUCACUUCUGGAUGAUCCCGCGGCGUAUUAGUUAGUUGGUGAGGUAAAGGCCCACCAAGACGAUGAUACGUAGCCGACCUGAGAGGGUAAUCGGCCACAUUGGGACUGAGACACGGCCCAAACUCCUACGGGAGGCAGCAGUAGGGAAUCUUCCACAAUGGACGAAAGUCUGAUGGAGCAAUGCCGCGUGAGUGAAGAAGGGUUUCGGCUCGUAAAACUCUGUUGUUAAAGAAGAACACCUUUGAGAGUAACUGUUCAAGGGUUGACGGUAUUUAACCAGAAAGCCACGGCUAACUACGUGCCAGCAGCCGCGGUAAUACGUAGGUGGCAAGCGUUGUCCGGAUUUAUUGGGCGUAAAGCGAGCGCAGGCGGUUUUUUAAGUCUGAUGUGAAAGCCUUCGGCUUAACCGGAGAAGUGCAUCGGAAACUGGGAGACUUGAGUGCAGAAGAGGACAGUGGAACUCCAUGUGUAGCGGUGGAAUGCGUAGAUAUAUGGAAGAACACCAGUGGCGAAGGCGGCUGUCUAGUCUGUAACUGACGCUGAGGCUCGAAAGCAUGGGUAGCGAACA
rnacentral:rRNA from 2 species